GUAAUUCUGUCAGUUCUAAGUGCUAGUACCAUGUGUCUUAAGAGUUAUUUUUUGUUUUUAGUAAUAUUAAUAAUCGUAGUCUACGUAGAAGUCCAGUAAAGGAGUCAUCUUUGCUUAGAAUGUCCAAAUGGAACAGGAGUCCAACAAAAGGUUUAGGAUUACUUUUGGUCUACAAACACCCAUGCUUGUAAACCAUUACCAUUCAAUUUUCAGUCCACAAAAUUCCUGCAACUUAUGCUUUUGUUUCUAAGUUGUACGAUACAAUUCAUGAGCCUAGAGAGUAACACUUUCUUGAUAGGUGUGAGCCCUAGAACCUAAUAGUGUUAGGCUAGUAGUUCUGGGUGUUUAAUAGCUGAUCUUGGAAUAUUCAUGUGAUCACAAAGGAAAAUAUUAAUGUUGCAACAGGUAACAAAGCAAACCUUUAGAGGUCACUUUCUUUCAAAAAUGCCAGUCCCAUCAAAAGAAUUUUUGGCAGACAUGUGGCACAUGUUGUGCCUGAUAAGGACAAGUCCAAGUAUCUAUGUUGCAGAAGUUCUA
rnacentral:misc_RNA from 1 species